GAUGAACGCUGGCGGCGUGCCUAAUACAUGCAAGUCGAGCGAACAGACGAGGAGCUUGCUCCUCUGACGUCAGCGGCGGACGGGUGAGUAACACGUGGAUAACCUACCUAUAAGACUGGGAUAACUUCGGGAAACCGGAGCUAAUACCGGAUAAUAUAUUGAACCGCAUGGUUCAAUAGUGAAAGACGGUUUUGCUGUCACUUAUAGCUGGAUCCGCGCCGCAUUAGCUAGUUGGUAAGGUAACGGCUUACCAAGGCAACGAUGCGUAGCCGACCUGAGAGGGUGAUCGGCCACACUGGAACUGAGACACGGUCCAGACUCCUACGGGAGGCAGCAGUAGGGAAUCUUCCGCAAUGGGCGAAAGCUUGACGGAGCAACGCCGCGUGAGUGAUGAAGGUCUUCGGAUCGUAAAACUCUGUUAUUAGGGAAGAACAAAUGUGUAAGUAACUAUGCACGUCUUGACGGUACCUAAUCAGAAAGCCACGGCUAACUACGUGC
rnacentral:rRNA from 1 species